GAAGAAAAACAAACUGUAUAAAUUAUUGUUGGCUUGCUUUACUUAAAUAGCAUUCAGUCAAUUAGUGUUAUAUAUUUAAUUACAAUAAACAGCAAUUCAUUAUUUCAAAUAGGUUUAAAGCCUAAUAGGCAUCAGUCUCCAGAGCAAAUACCCUUCUUUUGUGCACAAAACUGUUUCCAGCUUCUCAACCUUUCGUAACGUAAGUGCAGGAAAAAGAAUGAAAACGUGUACAGAAAGGCAGAUACACCAGAACAUUUUGUCUAUUCAUUUGUGCUGGAUAGUCAACAUGACAAGAAAAAUUAAACUGGGAUUUAGAGACACUUUUUUUUUACCUUGUAGAAUGAAGAGCUUUCAGGAUUUUACUUUAAUUACCUUCUUGUUCAGUUUUUCUUUUGUUGUCUAAAAUCAUCAAUGAGACUUUUGUCUUCUAUUUUCUAUUGCUAUAAAUCUCUUGAGCAAAUUUGCUGCCUUCAUGUAAGAGCAGAAUAGAACUGAAGACAAAAGCACAGAAAUGUUGAGGCAACAGAUCCCAUUAAGAACAAAGUGGGAGAGAAAGAGAAAGAAAGUACAUCUGGCUGAAGAAACAUUUCUAAAUAUUUCCAUUUCUUUCUCCCACUGAAACUUCCUGACCUCUUCCAGGAAGGCUUCCCAGAUCUGCUGUGAAGAUAGUAGGGUGGAAGGUGUAGGGAGAGGCUGCGAGACUCAGCCCCCCUCCCCAGCUGAUCUGUGCCUCAGGAUGAUGCCACAGCUCUGGCCUCUUCCCAUUCCCUUACCCACUUCCCACUCCUAACCUAUCCCUAACAAAACUGUUGAGUUCUUCUCAAGAAAAGAUCUACAGGAAAAAGGGCACUGGGAAGAUCUGCUACCAGAUUGCUGGGAAACACUGCUGGGAUUGCUGGGAUAAAUCUCUCACAGCAGAAAUGCUGUGGCAGACCUCUGAACCUGCUUGAAAAGCUUUGCACAGAACCCAGACCCCUGCUGUGAAAAGGUUCGGUUUUUAAGAGACAGCAUUUCUCAUCUGGUCAAAUGUCGUCAUAGAAAGCCUCCGAUCAGCUGUGGAAAAGAAAAUACUCAUGAAGAGAAAUUAUAAGUUAGUCAACACCUAACAAAGAUAGGUGGAAAAAAAAAAUGCAAGGUGAGGUCUUUUUAAUCUCCCAGUUAUGUUUUUAAAUUGUGUUUCUAAUAAGGGGUGAUGGGAGCAAGAUCUGUGAAGUUUCUCUGGUAUGUAGAAACCCCAAGAAUCUGACACACCUUGAUGAUUUUUAAUAUGAAUGCAAAUAGCAUUCCUCCGGUCCACGUUGUUCAUUUUCUAAGUUUUUUAAUGGGUUUGGCCUCUAGGUCCUUUAUUCUGGAACAACUCUAGUGCAGAGAAUAAUAGGCUUUCCUCCAGUUCUGCUGAGCUCCAGCAGAAGAUUAUUUUCACCUGCUACAGCAGCCCCUGCCAUGCCUGUGAGCAGCCCCAGCUGAUGCUCUGUGUUCAGUGGCACACACCCAACAGCAGGCACGGCUCUCAGAGAAACAAAGAAAAAAAACUCCCAGUGCAAGAGAGACAGGUGCGCCAAGGAAAAUUCCCAGCUUCUCUCUCUCUAGCCAGAGGGAGCACCAGACACAUCAUCUUCAAGGUCUCCAAGCUGAAAUUCUGCCCAAAGCAGAAAAUAUUUUUAAAGAAAGACUUUAGACUUGCUUCCUGCAAAUAAUGUGAGGAUUGACUGAACAAAAUUACUUCUCUAUUAGCGUGCAUUUGCCUGUGAAGGACCGUCCUCUGAAAGGCUCCACAGUCUCUCUCCAGACUUCUCUGUUGUACACCUGGAAAUGCUUAGUGCAUACCUUUUGGAAGCUCAGUGCCAUCUGUAACUGAUACACAAGCACUGAAGGGUUGUGAUAAGGUUCUAGAUCCAUUUUGGCAGUCACUCUCGACAUAUGGUAUCAAGAUUGGCUGUGGACUUAAGAGAUACCACAAGUGGGUCACACACAGCACAGGAUACCAGUGAAAUGAGCACAGUUACUUCGCAGGCACCCUCAUCAGCAACCUUGUGCACAGGAUCAAUGCUUCAGUGAACUCCCUCAACUCUACCUUCCUACUGCCAGAACAUCCCAGGAUUUGGAAUCAUGAUUUUCACUAGCUUGCCUAGCAAAGACCAGAUCACAGUCAUUUGCACCAUGUGAAUCUGAUCUUCUGGUGCUGAGGUUCUUCAUCAUCAAUGGCCUUCCUCCCAGAUCAGAUUGGUCCUGGUGGAAGGGUGGAGUGGAAGAGGAGACGACUCUGUCUGUGUAACCAAUGCAGGACUUCUCCGCUAAACCUGCUCAGAAUGUGCACUCUCCCCAGCUGUGCACCUCCUCUGCUAACAACCAAACCAACGAACCCAUUUGCCACAGACCAAGUGAUCCCUCUCAUGAAACAGUUAUUUCACCCUAUAUCAAAAUAAUGCAGUUCAGAAAAUUGGUAGGAAAUGUUGCAGUUCAAUGAUCAGACUCUAAACUGUUCUGUAAUUAGGUGGCUCAUCACUGAAGUCAGAGUUGGUAUUUUGCAUUUGCAUGUGUCAAAUACAUGAAAACAUCAACUACAUACAUUAGGCUCCCUGAAUUGUGUCUCUACCAUUGAAAUGAGAAUGUGACCACAGAUUUAUCUAACAGCGCUGGACUGUCACUUGGAACUAAGACCGUAAAGGAUUGAUUUGCCUGAAGAGAACUGAACCAAGACUGUGUUGGGAAAAGAUAAUUUCAAUAAAAUCAAAAUCUCUUUUCUUUUUCUGUUGUUCAUCAGUAAAAUUAACUUUCAUGAAAUUAACUUGCAUGAAAUAUUACAUUCAAAUAAAAAGAUUUACUUGUUGAGGAACCAUUUAAACUUUUUGUGAAUAGAAUAUUCACUAAGCCAAACAUCAUCUUUGCAAUAGUCACUUUGAAGUGAAGUGUACAGAACUGCUCUUAGGAGCACUUGAAUUAAAUGUGCUUGUGACUAGUAUUUCUACAGGUCAGUGUCUCAUUAGAGAAGAAAACAACCAAACAAUAAUAACACAAAACUACUCCAUCAAAGAGCAGAGACUUGGAAUCUUACUGUCAGCUAUCCUCCCAUAAAAUUACCUAAAAAACAGAAAAAUUCUGAAAAGUGAAAACGUAUUCAUUAUGAAAUGAUUUUACAUUAACUCAAUAAACAACAAAGUGACGGUAUGAAGAUUUGCUGCCCUUUGAGGGAUGCAGUUUUAUUGAGUUUAAAAUGAUAAUAAACCAUUGAGAGCCUACUGAGCUAGGUAAUGAAUGUAACACAGCAAUUUAAGAGUUCAUUUCUGAGGCUCUAUAAUAGUUUUCCGAGUUUUGGUAUCUUAGUGGGGUUUUUAUGCUUGUGCAAUUGCAGUAAUUGAAGUAGAUUAUAAAAAUGAUUCUCAUGCAGACCUUUCCGGCAGGAAAAAAAGAGAUGGAAUCUAAAUGGUAUUUCACCUGGGAAAAUACAGAAAUCCAAUUUUCAUAUAACAUAACGGUUAGAAAGCCUCUGCCUGCAAUCUCAUUAUUAUAGUGAAUAUGUACAAAAUUUAGAUUAAAUCUGAUACGCUCUCCUGGUUCUCCUCCCAUAACCAGCAUGG